rnacentral:misc_RNA from 1 species
UACUAAGCCGCGUCAAUAUCUUUUUCAAGAUAUAUUGAUGGAUGGGUAUUUGAUUGUGGAUAUUGUUCUUUCGUUCACUAGAUUGUGUGCGGUUGGAUGAAAUAUUAUUGUAUUUGAUGCCAAAUGUCUUACAUGUUUUGGUUAACAUUGUAUGAUAUUAAUGUUAUCGGGUAAAGCUAAAAUCCAAAUAGAAUUUCAAUCUCAUUCUCGUAAAAUGAGAGAAACC